GAUGAACGCUAGCGGCAGGCCUAAUACAUGCAAGUCGAACGGCAGCACGGGUAGCAAUACCUGGUGGCGAGUGGCGCACGGGUGCGUAACGCGUAUGCAACCUACCUAUAACUGGGGAAUAGCCUUCUGAAAGGAAGAUUAACACCGCAUAAUAUCACGAGACGGCAUCGCCUUGUGAUCAAAUCUCCGGAGGGUAUAGAUGGGCAUGCGUGACAUUAGCUAGUUGGUGAGGUAACGGCCCACCAAGGCUACGAUGUCUAGGGGGUCUGAGAGGAUGAUCCCCCACACUGGUACUGAGACACGGACCAGACUCCUACGGGAGGCAGCAGUAAGGAAUAUUGGACAAUGGGCGCAAGCCUGAUCCAGCCAUGCCGCGUGAAGGAUGACGGCCCUCUGGGUUGUAAACUUCUUUUAUACGGGAAUAAACCCCUCGAUUCUUCGAGGGCUGAAUGUACUGUAAGAAUAAGGAUCGGCUAACUUCGUGCCAGCAGCCGCGGUAA
rnacentral:rRNA from 1 species